GCAUGCCUAACACAUGCAAGUCGAACGGUAACAGGCCUAGCUUGCUAGGUGCUGACGAGUGGCGGACGGGUGAGUAAUGCGUAGGAAUCUGCCCUAUAGUGGGGGAAAACUCGGGGAAACUCGGGCUAAUACCGCAUAAUCCCUUCGGGGGAAAGCGGGGGACCUUCGGGCCUCGUGCUAUUGGAUGAGCCUACGUCAGAUUAGCUUGUUGGUAGGGUAAAGGCCUACCAAGGCGAUGAUCUGUAGCUGGUCUGAGAGGAUGACC
rnacentral:rRNA from 1 species